AUUGAACGCUGGCGGCAGGCCUAACACAUGCAAGUCGAGCGAGCGGAGGACGGGUGAGUAAUGUCUGGGAAACUGCCUGAUGGAGGGGGAUAACUACUGGAAACGGUCGCUAAUACCGCAUAAAAUCAGAUGUGCGCAGAUGGGAUUAGCUAGGAGGUGGGGUAACGGCUCACCUAGGCGACGAUCCCUAGCUGGUCUCAGAGGAUGACCAGCCACACUGGAACUGAGACACGGUCCAGACUCCUACGGGAGGCAGCAGUGGGGAAUAGUGCACAAUGGGCGCAAGCCUGAUGCAGCCAUGCCGCGUGUAUGAAGAAGGCCUUCGGGUUGUAAAGUACUUUCAGCGGGGAGGCGUUACCCGCAGAAGAAGCACCGGCUAACUCCGUGCCAGCAGCCGCGGUAAUUC
rnacentral:rRNA from 1 species